GUUUUGAUUCAGAAAAUGAGCACAUUUAUACAGAUGAUUUGAUAAUAAUUUUGCAGAUCAUAAUUAGGUUUUGUUGAUUCAUUUUUUUUGGAUGUAUCUUGCAUGAGAAUUGCGUAGUGCAGUACUGUUUGUUUCAUGAGAAAAUCAUCAGGAAAAUAAAUAUAAGCCAAAAAAACUCGGUACCCACAUUAAGAUUGCUGUGUUUGAUUGUCGGUUUUGAUUUAUUUCCUUACGCUUGAAACAAAACCCUAAUUGAAUUGGCGCAAGCAGAACACUGUAUAUGCCUAGGAAUAUCAGCAUUCUCCUACUGAUUGCUUGCCAGAAAAUCGUCAGGGAAAAAAUGAAAAAAACACAUAAAAGCAGACUUGUUAUCUUCCAAUAGCUUUUCAUUUUGUGUCUUUGCAUCAGCCACAGAGAAACAAACAUCUUCUUGGUAAGAAAAGAGAAGGUGUUUGGAUAGGAAACAGAAAAUAUUGGAAUCGCAUUUCCUUGUAUAGUUUCCUGGAUGCUCAAGUAUGGAAAAUGUAAUGAAAAUUUUUUGGUUAUAUAUUUGAUUUUUACUCAUAAUUUGUAAAUUGGGAACAGAGAAAUUGAAUUCAUUAGAAUAUGGCUGAGGCUGGCCCUGAAGAAUCUACUUUUGCAGUGGAGUAUAUUGAUUUCUAUGUUCUAAAUCCAUGAAUUGUUUGAUUUUCCCUUAUAAUUUAACCCUGGUUCGAUACUUAUACCUGUUAUUCUUGCUAGUUCAGUUGAAUCAGUUCAUCAUCUUGAGCUGGCAUUGCAGCAUCUUCAGGAGCACUCCAGGUGUUUGAUAUUAUGCUUGUUCUAAACAGUGUAUGAUGAAUAUGUCUCGGGCCAGUAGUAUAGUUCCUCGGUUCAUUAAGCACAUGAUUUGGUCUCAGAGCUGGCUCCUGAACCACUCUGUGAAGUUCUAUCAAAGUAUGCCGUAGCCUUGUUGGGGUAUGGAGAUGAAGAUGAAACAGCUUUCUGGAGCUGAAUUAUGAUCAUGGUGUGACUGAGUAUACCAACGGAACAGCAUAUGGACAGCAGCACAGGCUAGUUUACUAUUUUUUCAGGAACUUUGUAUAUAUCUUCAUUUCAUAACACUUCCUUGAAUGCUCUAUCUGUCCUAGCUUGCUAUUACUACCCAUGAUACGUAUAAAUAGUGAGUUUUUCCCU